AGCUGGGAUUUAAAUGUUAAUGGGUGCAAGUCUGAAUACAGACUUUGCCAUAUUUAAGGAGAACUGCAUGAUAGAAGAGGAGUCCAUCCAAAGUUCUUUGUGAGUAAUGAGAGUCAUUAAGUUCAAAUUUAAAAUCUAUUCAUUUGUCUUUCAGUGGUUUGCAGAUCAAGCUGUCAGACAUGCAAUAAUUGUUUGUUUUUUUUUUUUUUUUGGGGAAAGAAUCAAAAAACUACAAGGAUGAAGAGAAAUGGUGGGGUGAGCUACAAGACCAAAAGAAACAACAGCAAAGAGAAAAACAAAAAAAAGAGCAAAAAAAACAGGAGGUUGGAUUCUGGCGAGCUCUGGGUACAACAAUCAAGUAUUCUGGUAUAGGAAUCAUCCUCUUCGUUUUGUGCAAUUUGCUGGGCCUGUGCAUCUUCAAUUGGAAGAUGAAAAGUGCCAAGCUCACUCACUCUAAGGAUGAUGAAGAGUAAAACUAGUCCCCAUGUUUUAGUUGCUCUGGUUAACAACAGGUAAGCUUCAGGGAUUAUCAUAACCAUUAAUAACAAUUUGUAGCGUGUGCUUUACUUUUUCUGUUGGUAUUAUGUGUUAUUUUUUGGGAAAAUACGUCAGAACUAAUUCAUAAUGAAUUCCAGUUUAGGUGUAAAUUCAGUGCAUGCCAGCAAACACUGAAGAUAGUAUCAGAAAAAAAAUCUGCCCAUCAGCUACAGCAA